CUCACUUCCAAAUGUGUAAACCUCCUUAUCUGAAACUUUGGCAUGGUUUAACACGAGAAGACAACAUUCUAACUACAUUCACAGACCCAAUCUCGUGUUUCGUCUCAUCUUGUGAACUGAGGGCCUUUUGACUGUUGUGACUGUCCGUCUCAGCGAUGAUCAUAUUUGGUCUGAAAUGUGCGAAUCACCCUCAGAGCCAAAGCUAAGACCUUGUGAACAUGAUGGCUGAACCUGAGUGGGUGCGUAAGUGUCCGGUUAGGGCAUCCCUCCUGCGACAGGCAUAGCUGCAAAGGUGACACUUGAAGGGUUUCUCUCCAGAGUGGAGCUUGAUGUGACGCAGCAGGUUGCCUUUCUGUGUGAAAGAAGCCCCACACUGGUUGCACUGGAAGGGACGUUCUCCUGCGAAGAAGAACACAUCACACACCAAAGGCUAUUAAAUGGAUGAUGAAAUGACAUAUUUUACAAGCACGUUCAAUUGCAUUAAUUUUCCACUGAUUUAAGAGUGAAAGGCCAAUCUUCUCCAGUGGGAAUGUGGGGUCACUCUGUUACAAGCAUCCGGGGGAACCAGAACAAGUGAGAUGAUGGAGAGACUCCAGAUUAGAACGUGUGGGGGAGUUCCACAGUGACGCUCCAUCCCUCCAUGCUCCCCCCUGCCCCAUCAACUCCCUCUGCUCUGAUCGAACAAGAGCCUUUCAGACUCAGCCUGCCAGUUCCGUAAUGCACCAUUGCCUGGGUCAAUUUGAUCUGAAAAUCUCAUUUUUUCCUCUUCUUCAUCUCUAAAAUAAGAGCAGCACAUCACAAUGCAAAUUCAGCCUCAUUUGAAUAAAGUGAAGGAAACACUUUGUGUUGAGAGCCAGUCUUCCUGAUCAGCGCUCCUGGAAUAAACCAAUAUCCAGCCUCUCCGAUUGUUGUGGCAUUCUGUGAGAACCUUUUAAUAUGGCUUUUUUUUUAAAU